GAGUAGUGCGAGCCGCCGCCGUGGGGAGCCCGCCCGCCGAAGUCUGGCGGCACUGUGGGGGCGGCCUCAGUGCCUCAGUUUCCCCCUGGGGCGGCUGUACGGGAGGCGUGUCGCAGCGAGGUGACCUCCCCCAGGUCCCUGUGCAGAACCUUGAGGUAAGUUCCCAAAAAGUGUAGAGAAUGGCCAUGGGGAAGAAGGAACUGUCACAAAGCUGGAAAGGAGUCUUGGUGCUGGGCUGCCGCCUCUCCCAAGCCCAUCUUGGAUUCUGGAACUUCCUGCUGCCUUGCACACUGACUGGGCUACCUCAGCCCAGCUCUGACUGUCCCCAACUGCCGGCCGGCCCCAGCUUUCCAGAUCUCAGGCUAGAAUGUGGCAACUCCUGGCCCUGCUCCCUGUGUGACCGCUCAGUCCACAGGAAAUGA
rnacentral:lncRNA from 1 species